UACGUAGGUGGCAAGCGUUGUCCGGAUUUACUGGGCGUAAAGAGCGCGCAGGCGGUCGCUCAAGUCGCGUGUGAAAGCCCCCGGCUCAACUGGGGAGGGUCACGCGAUACUGAUCGACUCGAAGGCAGGAGAGGGUAGUGGAAUUCCCGGUGUAGUGGUGAAAUGCGUAGAUAUCGGGAGGAACACCAGUGGCGAAGGCGACUUCCUGGCCUGUUCUUGACGCUGAGGCGCGAAAGCUAGGGGAGCAAACGGG
rnacentral:rRNA from 1 species